UACGUAGGGUGCGAGCGUUAAUCGGAAUUACUGGGCGUAAAGUGUGCGCAGGCGGCCAUGCAAGUCGAGUGUGAAAGCCCCGAGCUUAACUUGGGAAUUGCGCUCGAAACUACGUGGCUGGAGUGUGGCAGAGGGGGGUGGGAAUUCCACGUGUAGCAGUGAAAUGCGUAGAGAUGUGGAGGAACACCGAUGGCGAAGGCAGCCCCCUGGGCUAACACUGACGCUCAUGCACGAAAGCGUGGGGAGCAAACAGG
rnacentral:rRNA from 1 species